AGAAUCAACGCUGGCGGCGUGCCUAACACAUGCAAGUCGAACGAGAAAGUGGAGCAAUCCAUGAGUAAAGUGGCGCACGGGUGAGUAACACGUGACUAACCUACCCUUGAGUGGGGGAUAACUGAGGGAAACCUUAGCUAAUACCGCAUAAUACCUACGGGUCAAAGGAGCAAUUCGCUUAAGGAGGGGGUCGCGGCCGAUUAGUUAGUUGGCGGGGUAAUGGCCCACCAAGACGAUGAUCGGUAUCCGGCCUGAGAGGGCGCACGGACACACUGGAACUGAAACACGGUCCAGACUCCUACGGGAGGCAGCAGUGGGGAAUUUUGCGCAAUGGGGGAAACCCUGACGCAGCAACGCCGCGUGGAGGAUGAAGUCCUUCGGGACGUAAACUCCUUUCGAUCGGGACGAUAAUGACGGUACCGGAAGAAGAAGCCCCGGCUAACUUCGUGCCAGCAGCCGCGGUAAUACGAGGGGGGCGAGCGUUGUUCGGAAUUAUUGGGCGUAAAGGGUGCGUAGGCGGUUUGGUAAGUCUUGUGUGAAAUCUCCAGGCUCAACUUGGAGUCUGCACGAGAAACUGCCGGGCUUGAGUGUGGGAGAGGUGAGUGGAAUUCCUGGUGUAGCGGUGAAAUGCGUAGAUAUCA
rnacentral:rRNA from 1 species